ACCGCUUUCUCCGUGUGCCGAAGUGUGAGGUACCUGGGAAGUCUUGUGGUAACCCUCCGUGCUCUUAAUUCUCUGAACUGACUGUGGGGAGAGAACAGGGCAAAUUACAACACCCUCCAAGACUUUCCUUCCUCCCCUCCCCCUCCUUCCAUCUUCCUCCCCCUUCUUUAGUGAAAAUCCAGCUGCCUCAAAAGGUUGCUAUGGCAACCCUAGUGCUGGCAGGAGCAGGGCUGUCCUGACUUGGGGAUGGGCUUCCAUGACAGAGCUGCGCCUCAUUUGGGGGCAAAAUUAUGAUGGUGGGCAGAUGGGAUUGGAACAACUCAGGGGCUGACCCAGACUUCUGGAUCAUGGGACCUCUGCACUCAGAGCAGCUGGGGACACAUCUUUACCCUGGGGUCCCUCAGACACCUGGCUCCCAAGCUUCACAAGAAGCCUUGGGGUCUCUCCAAAGGGCUCAGUCUAUGUUCACACUAACAAGCCUUGAGCAAGGCUUCGCCCUCUCCUCAAAUAGUCCCUGUAUGAGAGAUCCCAACACGGGUUCUGCAUGUCAUGAGAAGAACAUUCGCAGCCUCGCUGGCCUUACAUGUCUCUCCAGCCCCAUCUCCUGGGAUCACCACCUGUCAGAACAGAUGAGAUUUGUCUAGUGAGAGGCGCUCCCUACCUGUGUCAACCUUUCUGCUGCUACAGCGUCCUGCCAGCAGCCCUCCCUGGAAGAUGAAGGUCAUGGAGAGAAGGCCUGGGGAUAGGGGGGCUAUCUUAGUUUGAGCUGCUGUAACAAAAUGUCAUAAAUGCUUAUAAAUAACAGAAAUGUGUUCCUUGUGGCUCUGAGUUCAGGGUGCCAGCAUGGUGAGGUUCUGGUGAGACUACCCUCUUCUGAGUGCAUUUUCCAUGGGACAGAGAAAGUGGUGAGCUAGCUCUCUGGUCUCUUCUUACAAGGGCACUCAUCCCGUUCGUGAUGGCUUCACUCUCAUGACUUAAUCACCCCCAAAGAUCCAACCUCCACAUACCACCACACUGGGGAUUCCAUUUCAAUCUACGCAGUUUUGUGGGACACAGUCAGUCCAUAAUGGGGACCAGUGGUGCCGGCUCCAGCUCCUCCAGCAAAAACAUAGAUUGCCGUUGCUGCUCUGAGCCUCUUGAGUUUGAGAGAGCCCUCGAUGGUAGGGAAUGUCUAAACCAUUGUGUGGCCUCAGACAGGAGCCGCAGGUGGUCGGAAGUUCUUUAUAACAUUUGCUUUUAAGAGAGAAAAGAAUAUUAGCUUUAAGUCUUCCUGUUUUAAAUCAGAGCAUCUGGGGCUCCGGCCUGUGCAGCUGUUAAUCCUCAUAAUCACCAGUCGGGCUUACAGGAGUUGGCCAUGUUCCCCUGCUGGCACCUGGACUUCCCAAGGCCGGAUGCCCACCCCUCCCCUCAGCCACCCUUGGCACGCAGAGUGGAGUGGGUAGCAUGUUCAAGUUCUGGAGUCAGACAGUCUUGGAUACAAGCCUGACCCUGCUGCUUCAGACUGUGACCUUGGAUAAGCCGCUUCCCGUCACCAAGCCUCAGUUUAUUCAUCUGCAAGAUGCUAACUAAUGAUAUUACCUACCUUACAAGGCAGGCUCUGAAGAUUAGAUGAGCUGAAGGUUCUAAAGCCCUCUAGCAGAGCCU
rnacentral:lncRNA from 12 species